ensembl:lncRNA
AUGGUGACAUGCCAAUCAGCUAACCCAAAACACCUGCAAAGGUUUCCUGAGCCUUUAAAAUGGUCUCUCAGUUUUGAUUCACUAGGCUACACAAUCAUGGGGAAGACUGCUGAUCUGACAGUUGUCCAGAAGACAAUCAUUGACACCCUUCACAAGGAGGGUAAGACACAAACAUUCAUUGCCAAAGAAGCUGGCUGUUCACAGAGUGCUGUAUCCAGAUCAGAGGGUCACUGCAGUCACCUGGAUCCAGUACGUAUCCAGUAUUUCAAUCUGAUUUAAUAGUUAAUUUAAUAAAAUGGUUUUAAACUUGUUUUAAUUGAUUCCUUAACUUUUGUUGUUGUUGUUGUUUGUAAAUUAUUUCUACUCUGCACUAAAUAUGCAGUCCCAAUUAGUUUAUAUUAGUUUACUGUACAGGUGCAUCUCAAUAAAUUAGAAUGUUGUGGAAAAGUUCAUUUAUUUCAGUUAUUAAAAUCAAAUUGUGAAACUCGUGUAUUAAAUAAAUUCAAUGCACACAGGCUUCAAUAAAUUUGAAUAUGGUGACAUGCCAAUCAGCUAACCCAAAACACCUGCAAAGGUUUCCUGAGCCUUUAAAAUGGUCUCUCAGUUUGAUUCACUAGGCUACACAAUCAUGGGGAAGACUGCUGAUCUGACAGUUGUCCAGAAGACAAUCAUUGACACCCUUCACAAGGAGGGUAAGACACAAACAUUCAUUGCCAAAGAAGCUGGCUGUUCACAGAGUGCUGUAUCCAAGCAUGUUAACAGAAAGUUGAGUGGAAGUAAAAGAGUGGAAAAAAAAGAUUCACAACCAACCGAGAUAACUGCAGCCUUAUGAGGAUUGUCAAGAAAAAUUGAUUCAAGAAUUUGAGUGAACUUCACAAGGAAUGGACUGAGGCUGGGGUCAAGGCAUCAAGAGCCACCACACACAGACGUGUCGAGGAAUUUGGCUACAGUUGUCGUAUUCCUCUUGUUACGCCACUCCUGAACCACAGACAACGUCAGAGGCAUCUUACCUGGGCUAAGGAGAAGAGAGAUGAGAGCAAGUUUUGUAUUUAAUUUGGAAACCAAGGUCCUAGAGUCUGGAGGAAGGGUGGAGAAGCUCAUAGCACAAGCUGCUUGAAGUCCAGUGUUAAGUUUCCACAGUCUGUGAUGAUUUGAGAUGCAAUGUCAUCUGCUGGUGUUGGUCCAUUGUGUUUUUUUGAAAAUCAAAGUCACUGCACCCGUUUACCAAGAAAUUCUGGAGCACUUCAUGCUUCCUUC